rnacentral:rRNA from 1 species
AGGACGAACGCUGGCGGCGUGCUUAACACAUGCAAGUCGAACGGAAAGGCCCUGCUUUUGUGGGGUGCUCGAGUGGCGAACGGGUGAGUAACACGUGAGUAACCUGCCCUUGACUUUGGGAUAACUUCAGGAAACUGGGGCUAAUACCGGAUAGGAGCUCCUGCUGCAUGGUGGGGGUUGGAAAGUUUCGGCGGUUGGGAUGGACUCGCGGCUUAUCAGCUUGUUGGUGGGUAGUGGCUUACCAAGGCUUUGACGGGUAGCCGGCCUGAGGGGUGACCGGCGACGA